UACGUAGGGUGCGAGCGUUGUCCGGAAUUAUUGGGCGUAAAGAGCUCGUAGGCGGUUUGUCGCGUCUGCUGUGAAAUCCCGAGGCUCAACCUCGGGCUUGCAGUGGGUACGGGCAGGCUAGAGUGCGGUAGGGGAGAAUGGAACUCCUGGUGUAGCGGUGGAAUGCGCAGAUAUCAGGAAGAACACCGAUGGCGAAGGCAGUUCUCUGGGCCGUAACUGACGCUGAGGAGCGAAAGCGUGGGGAGCGAACAGG
rnacentral:rRNA from 1 species